ensembl:lncRNA
GUACAACUGAAUCAUUAAUCGCCAUGGAAAUAGGACAUCAAUAUUCUCAUGUUUGACUCUGGUAACCCAUGGUAACUGUGCUCCUUUUAUAAUUUGCAAGUGUCUAUUUUUCAUCUGACGAUGGAUUGUCCUGGGGACAAAAAAACAGAAGAAGAAGAAGGAAUAGCUGCAUUGGCAUCUGAACAUGUAUAGGGGGGUUCAGCAUUCAUUAUUCAAUAUUAGAAUUCUGACUUGAGCUCUUAGGAAAAAAAAAUAGAAAAGAUGACUCCAGGAAAGUAAUGAGGAUGCUGAAUGGUAUAAUGUUAUGGUAUUGAUGUCUGUGUCAGUGAGAGAUUGACAUGGAUUAGCAUCGAGGGAUAGAAAAACAUAAUGGCCGCCUCCGUUAAAGAUUCAGAGAUCAGCCCGACUCGUCACAAAACAAAACAAACCUUCACGUGUGCUCAUCUUGUACGUAAUGUUUUAGAUUUUUCUUUUUUUAUCCGUUUGCCCUUUAAUUAAAAUACUUUGUUUGUUUGUUUUACGUUGUUGAGAAAAAGACGUUGUAUGUGCCUAUACAUUUCACCUUUUGUUCUUAGUAUUUCUCUUUGUUGAUCUCUUUAUUUGUAUGGAGAUCUGUGUGAAAAUGUAAAAUGUGCUCUCUCUCUCUUUUUCCCCUCUCUUUGCCCUAAACGCAGGGUAACACAUGAUCUAUGACAUUCUAUCGACACGGUCUUCUCCUCUGGAAGACCGUCAGGCGAACAGAAACAUGGCUCGAUCUUUUUCUAGUGGAUAUUUUUACCAUGAACAGAAAGGAUGGCUGCAGCAAGACUACAUGGAAAAAAGGCUUGAGUCCCAAAUGGCAUUAUGUUCCCUAUGUAGUACACUACAUUUGGCUGGAGCCCUGGUCAUAAAGUAGUGCUCUAUAUAUAUAUAGAAUAGGAUACCAUUUAAGAUACAACCAAUGCUUUUGAUUUAUUUUAUUGCAUUGUACUGUUCCAUAGAGCAAUUGAAGGACAAAUUGCUAGUAAACUAUUUUUUUUAACCUUUAUUUCACUUGGCAAGUCAGUUAAGAACAAAUUCUUAUUUUCAAUGACGGCCUAGGAACAGUGGGUUAACUGCCUGUUCAGGGGCAGAACGACAGAUUUGUACCUUGUCAGCUCGGGGAUUCGAACUUGCAACCUUUCGGUUACUAGUCCAACGCGGGAACUUUAUAUGAUAACAUUUAAUAUAUUAUUUACAGCAUUACUCUUACUUUUAUUUAAUUUAUGAAAAACAAUUUCAUCAUUCUGGAAAUUUUUGUUUAGCUUAAGACAAAAAACAAAUAGGAAAACGUAUUCAAGUCUUUUUACUCAAUUUCUGUCUGAGAGGUGUCUGUCCCAUUGAAUAGCCUCUUCCUGUUGUCAUUUUCCCAUCAGCCACUUCAGGAUUACGGUAUCCAUAUUAGGAUAGAGUCACAAGGCGUUACUCCUAGUUAGGACACUGUACAGGGUAGCACUUCCUCUCAGAAAAGGAACACAUCCACAGUAACUUUGAGCUGCGAAAUGACAUAGACAAACUGUCUACAUUGUCCAUAUAUUUGAAUAACAAGUCAAAUUUGAAGUUGAAAGUUAGUCGAAAUUUGAAAGACCAAAUAGUUUGCGAUAGCUAGCUGUGCUCUGAGACUUUUCCCAGUCAGGACUGGACAAUAAAGGGCCUCUGUGUACUGGUUGUAAACAUAGAGGGAUUCAAGGCUUGAGUCCCAAAUUACACCCUAUUCCCUAUGUAGUGUACUACUUUUGACCAGGGCCCCAUAGGGAACAGGGUACCCUUUUGGGACUCCUCUCAAGGUGACCUUCAUUUAGCCAAAUGUGCUGACGAGAGAGCCGGUGUGUCUGUGAGAUAAUGGGAUAUUGGGUUUUACUAAUGAGAGAUCACUGUGCCAUUAAAAGGGUUGGAGCACCCAACCACCCAAUGAAUGUGGCCUUCAACACCUGUUAUGGAUUAAAGGCUAUGGUUAUAACCUGUUAUAGAUUAAAGGCUAUGGUUAUAACCUGUUCUACAUGAUAUGCUAUGGUUAUAACCUCUUAUGGAUGAUAUGCUAUGGUUAUAACCUCUUAUGGAUGAUAUGCUAUGGGUAUAACCCAUGGGUAUAACCCUAACUCAGGUGAGUUGGGUGCAGGCUGGGCUGAGGUGAGGUGGAGACAGGCAGAGUUAGAGACAGAUAGCAGGCUGGGCUGAAGUGAGGUGGAGACAGGUAGAGUUAGAGACAGAUAGCAGGCUGGGCUGAGGUGAGGUGGAGACUGAGGUGACAGUGAGAGCAGGUAUAGUUAGAGACAGAUAGCAGGCUGAGGUGAGGUGGAGACUGAGGUGACAGUGAGAGCAGGUAUAGUUAGAGACAGAUAGCAGGCUGAGGUGACAGUGAGAGCAGGUAUAGUUAGAGACAGAUAGCAGGCUGAGGUGAUAGAUAGAUAGAUAGAUAGAUGGUGGUUCCUAACUGUUACGUGGUCGUGUAUACAACAGUACUAGUUAUAAUACAAGGAUGCGAGUUUUUCCCCACUGAACACUCUGAUGACUGUUGGGAAGGUGAAAUAUCCAGAAAGAAAGUCCCUAAGUACAUGUAUAUUAAAUGAAUCCUUAAAAUAUUUCCAAUUUUAGAAUUGUUAACCAAAUUAGAUUUAGAGAUUGCAAUAUUAAAGUGUACAUUUUUUUUGUUUGUUAAUUUGAAGUGAAGAAUGAGGAAACGAGACAUUUUUACACACCUUAUUAUUAUAUAGAGUAAGAAAACGUCUUCUUCUCCUCCUGGCUGUUUCUACCCACAACGUUGUAUACAAUUGCUGGUUUUGUAAUGCACUGUAGAGCAAAAGCAGUUCCACUGUUCUUUUUUUUAAAUAUAUAUAUAAAGAAAUGUUAUUUCAAUGGUCUAUUCUUUUUUUUUGUUUGUUUGAUAAAUACAGUUUUGAUACAAAA